AGGGGGUUAGGUUAAUAAAACUGAUAGUUUUCAAAACUAUUGAUGUAGUGUGUGUGUAAUACACCUUCUG
rnacentral:tRNA from 1 species